AUGUAAAUUUUUGUGUGAAAUUUUAUUUAUUUUAAUAAUAAAUAAAUUUUGUAAUAGUCGCAGUAAUUAGUAUUAUUAAUUAAAGAAAUUUAGAAAUAGUAAUGUUAGUGAGUAUUGGCUAAAUUCGUGCCAGCAGUCGCGGUUAUACGAAUAAUACAAAUAAAUUUUUUUUAGUAAGAGUUAAAUGUAAUUAAUAAUUAAAUAUAAAUAUAAAUUUAUUAGGUGAAAUUUUAAAUUUGUUAAGUUUUAAAAAUAAAAUUAAUUGAAGCAUGAAAAUUUUAAUUAUAAACUAGGAUUAGAUACCCUAUUAUUUAAAAUUUAAAUUAUUUACUAAAGUAGUAUUAGUUAUGUUCUUGAAACUUAAAAAAUUUGGCGGUAUUUUAGUCUAUUCAGAGGAACUUGUUCUGUAAUUGAUAAUCCACGAUGGACCUUACUUAAGUUUGUAAAUCAGUUUAUAUACCGUCGUUAUUAGAAUAUUUUAUUAGAAUAAUAAUUUUCUAGAUUUUUAAUUAAAAUUUAUAUCAGAUCAAGGUGUAGCUUAUGUUUAAGUAGAAAUGAGUUACAAUAAGUUUAUUAUAUACGGAAAUGAAAAUGAAAAAUUUAUAGAAGGUGGAUUUGAUAGUAAAAUUAUAAAGAUUAAUAAUUUGAUUUUAGCUCUAAAAUAUGCACAUAUCGCCCGUCGCUCUUAUUAUUAAGGUAAGAUAAGUCGUAACAUAGUAGAUGUACUGGAAAGUGUAUCUAGAAUG
rnacentral:ncRNA from 1 species